GAGGGUAUAGCUCAAUGGUAAAGCACAUGCUUAGCAUGCACGAAGUCCUGGGUUCAAUCCACAGUACAUCCA
rfam:Camelus ferus unplaced genomic scaffold scaffold7504, whole genome shotgun sequence.